GCGCCCGUAGCUCAAUUGGAUAGAGUGUCUGGCUACGGACCAGAAGGUUAGGGGUUCAAAUCCUCUCGGGCGCGCCA
rnacentral:tRNA from 1 species